rnacentral:rRNA from 1 species
AGAGUUUGAUUAUGGCUCAGGAUGAACGCUAGCGAUAGGCCUAACACAUGCAAGUCGAGGGGCAGCACAUGAAGUAGCAAUACGGAUGGUGGCGACCGGCGCACGGGUGAGUAACGCGUAUGCAACCUGCCUACAACAGGGGAAUAACCCGUUGAAAGACGGACUAAUACCCCAUAACACAGGGAUCCCGCAUGGGAAUAUUUGUUAAAGAUUUAUCGGUUGUAGAUGGGCAUGCGUUCCAUUAGCUUGUUGGUGAGGUAACGGCUCACCAAGGCAACGAUGGAUAGGGGAACUGAGAGGUUUAUCCCCCACACUGGUACUGAGACACGGACCAGACUCCUACGGGAGGCAGCAGUGAGGAAUAUUGGUCAAUGGACGCAAGUCUGAACCAGCCACGUCGCGUGAAGGAAGACGGCCCUACGGGUUGUAAACUUCUUUUGUAAGGGAAUAAAGUGCAGUACGUGUACUGUUUUGCAUGUACCUUACGAAUAAGGAUCGGCUAACUCCGUGCCAGCAGCCGCGGUAAUACGGAGGAUCCGAGCGUUAUCCGGAUUUAUUGGGUUUAAAGGGUGCGCAGGCGGGAGAUUAAGUCGGCGGUGAAAUUUUGCAGCUCAACUGUAAAAGUGCCUUCGAAACUGGUUUCCUUGAGUGUGGAUGAAGUAGGCGGAAUUUGUGGUGUAGCGGUGAAAUGCAUAGAUAUCACGAGGAACUCCGAUUGCGCAGGCAGCUUACUAAACCAUAACUGACGCUCAGGCACGAAGGCGUGGGGAUCAAACAGGAUUAGAUACCCUGGUAGUC